UAGAGAGAGUUCAAGAGUACGUGAAACCGUUCAGGGGUAAACCUGAGAAACCCAAAAGAUCGAAUGGGGAGAUUCAUCGUCAGCACGUUUAGUAUAUGUAUGAGUUAUGAUAUGAGUUAUCCUUGUGAUAAUGCUUGUACGUACUUGUAUUAUUUUUGCUGAAUGUUGUCGGCGUGCACUUCUCCCCUAGUAGGACGUCGCGACCCGUUGAGUGUCGUUCUAUGACCCAGAUGGUAGUCUUUGAUUUUUUUUUAAAAUUGAAGACCAUUGGUGAUCUGAUCGACUGCUCGGCGGUAUUCGCACGGUAUUGAGUCGCAAUUAUUUGCGUUGGGCUCGUUUCAAGCGCGGCUAUUCUUCUGGUAGUGCGGAUUUAUGCCGUCACUGGAAAUGGCCAGCUGUUGGUUAACGAUGUUCUUUAACUGAUUCUUUAUUACCG
rnacentral:rRNA from 1 species